rnacentral:rRNA from 1 species
AUGCUGGAGAUAUCAGAAGUGCGAAUGCUGACGUAAGUAACGAUAAAGGGGGUGAAAAGCCUCCUCGCCGGAAGACCAAGGGUUCCUGUCCAACGUUAAUCGGGGCAGGGUGAGUCGACCCCUAAGGUGAGGCCGAAAGGCGUAAUCGAUGGGAAGCAGGUUAAUAUUCCUGCACGACUUGUAAUUGCGAUGGGGGGACGGAGAAGGCUAGGUGGGCCAGGCGACGGUUGUCCUGGUGAAAGUGCGUAGGUGGUGUUUCUAGGCAAAUCCGGAGACACAACACUGAGACACGAGACGAACGCACCACGGUGCGGAAGCCAUUGAUGCCCUGCUUCCAGGAAAAGCCUCUAAGCUUCAGAUUACAAGUCAUCGUACCCCAAACCGACACAGGUGGUCGGGUAGAGAAUACCAAGGCGCUUGAGAGAACUCGGGUGAAGGAACUAGGCAAAAUAGAACCGUAACUUCGGGAGAAGGUUCGCUCUUGAUGGUGAAGUCCCUUGCGGAUGGAGCUGUCGGGAGUCGCAGUGACCAGAUGGCUGGGACUGUUUAUCAAAAACACAGCACUCUGCAAACACGAAAGUGGACGUAUAGGGUGUGACACCUGCCCGGUGCCGGAAGGUUAAUUGAUGGGGUUAGCGCAAGCGAAGCUCUUGAUCGAAGCCCCGGUAAACGGCGGCCGUAACUAUAACGGUCCUAAGGUAGCGAAAUUCCUUGUCGGGUAAGUUCCGACCUGCACGAAUGGUGUAACCAUGGCCAUGCUGUCUCCACCCGAGACUCAGUGAAAUCGAAUUCGCCGUGAAGAUGCGGUGUACCCGCGGCUAGACGGAAAGACCCCGUGAACCUUUACUACAGCUUGGCACUGAACAUUGAACCUACAUGUGUAGGAUAGGUGGGAGGCUUUGAAGGCGUGACGCCAGUUGCGCUGGAGCCGUCCUUGAAAUACCACCCUUGUAUGUUUGAUGUUCUAACGCAGGGCCCUGAAUCGGGCUCGCGGACAGUGCCUGGUGGGUAGUUUGACUGGGGCGGUCUCCUCCCAAAGAGUAACGGAGGAGCACGAAGGUUGGCUAAUCCUGGUCGGACAUCAGGAGGUUAGUGCAAUGGCAUAAGCCAGCUUAACUGCGAGACGGACAGGUCGAGCAGGUACGAAAGUAGGUCAUAGUGAUCCGGUGGUUCUGAAUGGAAGGGCCAUCGCUCAACGGAUAAAAGGUACUCCGGGGAUAACAGGCUGAUACCGCCCAAGAGUUCAUAUCGACGGCGGUGUUUGGCACCUCGAUGUCGGCUCAUCACAUCCUGGGGCUGAAGUCGGUCCCAAGGGUAUGGCUGUUCGCCAUUUAAAGUGGUACGCGAGCUGGGUUCAGAACGUCGUGAGACAGUUCGGUCCCUAUCUGCCGUGGGCGUUGGAUGAUUGAAGGGAGUUGCUCCUAGUACGAGAGGACCGGAGUGAACGAACCUCUGGUGUUCGGGUUGUCACGCCAGUGGCACUGCCCGGUAGCUAAGUUCGGAAUCGAUAACCGCUGAAAGCAUCUAAGCGGGAAGCGAGCCCUGAGAUGAGUCAUCCCUGACCCCUUGAGGGUCCUAAAGGGCCGUUGGAGACCACAACGUUGAUAGGUGGGGUGUGUAAGCGUAGCGAUACGUUGAGCUAACCCAUACUAAUUACCCGUGAGGCUUAACCAU